rnacentral:rRNA from 1 species
UACGAAGGGGGCUAGCGUUGCUCGGAAUUACUGGGCGUAAAGGGCGCGUAGGCGGGCUGUUGCGUCCGGGGUGAAAUCCUCCCGCUCAACGGGAGAACGGCCUCGGAUACGGGCGGUCUCGAGGGAGGUAGGGGCAUCGGGAACUGUGAGUGGAGCGGUGAAAUGCGUUGAUAUUCACAGGAACUCCGGUGGCGAAGGCGCGGUGCUGGACCUCAUCUGACGCUGAGGCGCGAAAGCCAGGGGAGCGAACGGG